CCCUUAGAUGUUCGGGGCCACACGCGCGCUACACUGAAGGAAUCAGCACGUCUUUCUCCUUGUCCGAAAGGACUGGGUAACCCGCUGAACCUCCUUCGUGCUAGGGAUUGGGGCUUGUAAUUCUUCCCCAUGAACGAGGAAUUCCCAGUAAGCGCGAGUCAUAAGCUCGCGUUGAUUACGUCCCUGCCCUUUGUACACACCGCCCGUCGCUACUACCGAUUGGAUGGUUUAGUGAGAUCCUCGGAUUGGUCCCGGAGCGGCCUCUGGUCGUGCCGGAGUGCCGAAAAGAAUGUCGAACUUGAUCAUCUAGAGGAAGUAAAAGUCGUAACA
rnacentral:rRNA from 1 species